rnacentral:rRNA from 1 species
GGCGAACGGGUGAGUAACACGUGGGUAAUCUACCCUCGAGCUCGGGAUAACCUUGCGAAAGCGAGGCUAAUACCGGAUAAGACCACGCCCUGCACGCAGGGUGCGGUAAAAGGUGGCCUCUUCAUGAAAGCUAUCACUUGAGGAUGAGCCCGCGGCCUAUUAGCUAGUUGGUAGGGUAAUGGCCUACCAAGGCGACGAUGGGUAGCCGGCCUGAGACGGUGUACGGCCACACUGGCACUGAGAUACGGGCCAGACUCCUACGGGAGGCAGCAGUGGGGAAUUUUGCGCAAUGGGGGAAACCCUGACGCAGCAACGCCGCGUGAGUGAUGAAGGCCUUCGGGUCGUAAAGCUCUUUUAGUGGGGAAGAACCCCUUCCGGGCGAAUAACCCGGGAGGAUGACGGUACCCACAGAAAAAGUUCCGGCUAACUACGUGCCAGCAGCCGCGGUAAUACGUAGGGAGCAAGCGUUGUUCGGAAUUAUUGGGCGCAAAGAGCGCGUAGGCGGUUUGGUAAGUCUGACGUGAAAUCCC